GAUGAACGCUGGCGGCGUGCUUAAUACAUGCAAGUCGAGCGAACGGACGAGAAGCUUGCUUCUCUGAUGUUAGCGGCGGAGGGGUGAGUAACACGUGUAUAACCUACCUAUAAGACUGGGAUCUCUUCGGGACACCGGCGCUAAUACCGGAUAAUAUCUUGAACCGCAUGGUUCAAAAGUGAAAUUCGGUCUUGCUGUCACUUAUAGAUGGAUCCGCGCUGCAUUAGCUAGUUGGUAAGUUAACGGCUUACCACGGCAACGAUGCAUAGCCGAGCGGAGAGGUGGGUCGGCCACACGUGAACUGAGACACGAUCCAUGCUCCUACGAUAGGCAGCAGAAGGGAAUCGUCCGCAAUGGGCGAGAGCCUUACGGAGCAACGCCACGUGAGUUAUAAAGAUCUUCGGAUCGUAAUACUCUGUUAUUGGGGAAGAACAUAUGUGUAAGUAACUGUGCACAGCUUGACGGUACCUAGUCAGAAAGCCACGGCUAACUACGUG
rnacentral:rRNA from 1 species